UUAAUUGAAGAGUUUGAUCAUGGCUCAGAUUGAACGCUGGCGGCAGGCCUAACACAUGCAAGUCGAGCGGUAGCACAAGAGAGCUUGCUCUCUGGGUGACGAGCGGCGGACGGGUGAGUAAUGUCUGGGAAACUGCCUGAUGGAGGGGGAUAACUACUGGAAACGGU
rnacentral:rRNA from 1 species